UGAUUUCCUGUGUUAUUAAGAUUCAUUGCAAUGCCUCAGGUGACUUUGAAUCCAUGCACUGGAGUGAGUAUGUGUGCGUCAUCUCCCCAAUGACUUUGACUGUGCCUCUGUCCCAUCUGCCCCUUUCUGCCUCUGCUAGUAACCAUGAUCACCACUUUCAUUCUUUGUCCCUUCAUUUUUCUCUCACCCUGCCUUCUGAUUUUGCGUUUCCCACCAAAACAACAGAUGGGUGAAAUUGUGGGCUUCUGAUAUUUAUAAAUACUCUGCCUUGUUUUAAACUGAAAGGAUAGACACCAGCUCCUCCUCUUUCCCAUAAUCACCUCCCCAUUUUGCCUCCGUACAGGGGCCUCAGGGCCGUACCAGGGAGUGCUUUUUAGGUGGCAUGCCAGUGCUCAACUAUCACAACCUUCCUAGCAACAGCUACUGCUCCUCCAACCUGCCCUGCUCCGGCUCCUGUCGCCAUGGCAGACAGGUGUUCUAGGCAAACACACACACAUUACUAGCACCUUUCUGAGGGCUCCACCCAUAGCUGCAACACUAGCCCCAUCUGUUGCAGCACUACUAUGCCUUAUUUUCCCCAAGCUCACCCUCCUCCGAUCGCUUUCACCCCGCACUCAUAUGCCGCCUGCUACCUGUAUGUGCUCCCCAUGACAGAAAACUAAGGGGAUUACGAACAGUGAUGGGUGAUGAGAGUAAAAUCCUCUUUUUGUGCUUUGUGGUUUUGAAGAAUGUAUAAAAGCAUAGGCCUGGAUGGUAUCAAGGGGUUUUAAUUUUCCCAAAGCCUCUAGAAGAAACCACCCAGGACGCUGAUGUAAAGAUUGUAGGUUAUAGAUCAUAAUUGUGAAGGGGUCUGUAAUUCCCCUAUGCUGGUUUAGUUACUGGAGUUGUUAGUCUGGAUCAAUAUUUCUUAAUGUGUGAAGAGAAUGAUCAAGUCUUAGCCCUAGUAUGAUUUUGUCUUUUUACUCUAAAAAUUCUUGUACAUAUGUCAAAUGUUAGGGCUCUGUCCCCUUUCCAAAAAUUAUAUGAAUGCCUGUGCUAUAUUCUUUGUAAGUAAAAAAGCUUGAAAAUUCUACCAUUACUUGUCAACAUAUCAGACUGUUUUUAAUGCUGUCUUUAUUAGAAAUGUGAAAGUUGAAACAUUUCAUUAAAUCAAAUUGAAAUUC
ensembl:lncRNA